rnacentral:rRNA from 1 species
UACGUAGGUGGCAAGCGUUAUCCGGAUUUAUUGGGCGUAAAGGGAACGCAGGCGGUCUUUUAAGUCUGAUGUGAAAGCCUUCGGCUCAACCGGAGUAGUGCAUUGGAAACUGGGGGACUUGAGUGCAGAAGAGGAGAGUGGAACUCCAUGUGUAGCGGUGAAACGCGUAGAUAUAUGGAAGAACACCAGUGGCGAAAGCGGCUCUCUGGUCUGUAACUGACGCUGAGGUUCGAAAGCGUGGGUAGCAAACAGG